UCGAGAAUAGUCUACAAUGGUCGAAAGACUGAUAGUGCGACGCCGCGUGAACGAAGAAGCCCUUCGGGGUGUAAAGUUCUUUUAUAUGUGAGCAGUGACACCCAUAUUAAUAGUAUGGGUGUAGAGAUAUUAGCAUAUGAAUAAGCAACGGCUAACUCCGUGCCAGCAGCCGCGGUAACACGGGGGUUGCGAGCGUUGUCCGGAAUUACUAGGCGUAAAGGGCAGGCAGGCGGAUCCAUAAGUUUUUCGUUUAAGGCGUCAGCUUAACUGGCGUACGGCGGGAGAUACUGUGGAUCUGGAAUGCGGUUGGGGAAGACAGAAUUCCUGGUGUAGCGGUGGAAUGCGCAGAGAUCAGGAGGAAUACCGAAGGCGAAGGCAGUCUUCCAAGCCGUCAUUGACGCUCAACUGCGAAGGUGUGGGUAUCAAACAG
rnacentral:rRNA from 1 species